AACGAACGCUGGCGGCAGGCCUAACACAUGCAAGUCGAACGAAGCCUUCGGGCUUAGUGGCGGACGGGUGAGUAACACGUGGGAACAUGCCCUUGGGUACGGAACAACAGUUGGAAACGACUGCUAAUACCGUAUGAUGUCUUCGGACCAAAGAUUUAUCGCCCAAGGAUUGGCCCGCGUAAGAUUAGAUAGUUGGUGGGGUAACGGCCUACCGAGUCUACGAUCUUUAGCUGGUCUUAGAGGAUGAUCAGCCACACUGGGACUGAGACACGGCCCAG
rnacentral:rRNA from 1 species